GUGAUUGCUUCAGCUGCACAUAUACUAAAAUUGAAAUGAUACAGAGGAGAUUAGCAUGACCCCUGUUCAAGGAUGACAGGCAAAUUUGCGAAGCAUUCUAUAGAUUU